rnacentral:rRNA from 1 species
UACGUAGGGCGCAAGCGUUAUCCGGAAUUAUUGGGCGUAAAGAGCUCGUAGGCGGUCUGUCGCGUCUGCCGUGAAAGUCCGGGGCUCAACUCCGGAUCUGCGGUGGGUACGGGUAGACUAGAGUGAUGUAGGGGAGACUGGAAUUCCUGGUGUAGCGGUGAAAUGCGCAGAUAUCAGGAGGAACACCGAUGGCGAAGGCAGGUCUCUGGGCAUUAACUGACGCUGAGGAGCGAAAGCAUGGGGAGCGAACAGG